ACAUGUUUAUUGUAAUAAGUUUUUAAGAACGCCCAACAUAGUUCAAUGGGAUUAUAUUGGCAAUUGUAUGGAGGAAGGCGAAGAACAGUAUGGCCAUGGUCUCUUAUUAAUUUGUCAAUUUCAAAGGAUUUUUCAAUUUGAGGCUUGUAAUAACGGAUUAUUUCCCAUAACGAUUUUUUAUUUAAGAAACUUGGAGCUUUCUCGAUUUGUUUUGAGUGAUAUGGAGCAUUAUCCAUUACUACCGCACACUUCGCACCCAAAUUAUUUAAUGCUGGAAGUAAUUGAUUUUUCACCCAUUCCAUAAAAAUAAUUGACGUCAUAUUUUUAUGAUAAUCUCUGUGCUCCGUGUUGUCACUGAGCAAGAGAUCGCAAUUUGGCAAAAACCCUGACGAAGUGCCUGCGUGCAAGAUUGUAAAUCUUUUUCCUUCGCCUUCUGCUCUUUGCGGAAUACCGAAUCUUUCAUUUUCAUUUACCCAUUGAUAAACUUGGGUGCCAUUUUCGUAAA